rnacentral:piRNA from 1 species
UAGUGUGCUUGUAAGUUGGUUGAUGUC